rnacentral:rRNA from 1 species
UAGGGAAUCUUCGGCAAUGGACGAAAGUCUGACCGAGCAACGCCGCGUGAGUGAAGAAGGUUUUCGGAUCGUAAAACUCCGUUGUUAGAGAAGAACAAGGACGUUAGUAACUGAACGUCCCCUGACGGUAUCUAACCAGAAAGCCACGGCUAACUACGUGCCAGCAGCCGCGGUAAUACGUAGGUGGCAAGCGUCGUCCGGAUUUAUUGGGCGUAAAGCGAGCGCAGGCGGUUUCUUAAGUCUGAUGUGAAAGCCCCCGGCUCAACCGGGGAGGGUCAUUGGAAACUGGGAGACUUGAGUGCAGAAGAGGAGAGUGGAAUUCCAUGUGUAGCGGUGAAAUGCGUGGAUAUAUGGAGGAACACCAGUGGCGAAGGCGGCUCUCUGGUCUGUAACUGACGCUGAGGCUCGAAAGCGUGGGGAGCAAACAGG